ACAGCAUAGAAUUUUGUUAAGUUGAAUGUAAUUGGAUGGUGCUCCCCACUCGGCAUUUAUAUUGUUAAAUAACGUAUUUUAAUUUACUAAAGGU